GACGAACGCUGGCGGCGUGCUUAACACAUGCAAGUCGAACGGUGAACGAGGGAGCUUGCUCCCUCCGGAUCAGUGGCGAACGGGUGAGUAACACGUGAGCAAUCUGCCCCGAACUCUGGGAUAAGCGUUGGAAACGACGUCUAAUACCGGAUACGACGCGGGAGGGCAUCCUCUCCGCGUGGAAAGAACUUCGGUUCGGGCUGAGCUCGCGGCCUAUCAGCUUGUUGGUGAGGUAACGGCUCACCACGGCGCCGACUGGUAGCCGGCCUGAGAGGGUGACCGGCCACACUGGGACUGAGAGACGGCGCAGACUGCUACGGGAGGCAGCAGUGGGGAAUAUUGCACAAUGGGCGCAAGCCUGAUGCAGCAACGCCGGGUGAGGGAAGACGGCCUUCGGGUUGUAAACCUCUCUUAGCAGGGAAGAAGCGAUAGUGACGGUACCUGCAGAAAAAGCACCGGCUAACUACGUG
rnacentral:rRNA from 1 species